CGUGAGUGAUGAAGGCCCUAGGGUUGUAAAGCUCUUUCACCGGUGNNGNUNAUGACGGUAACCGGAGAAGAAGCCCCGGCUAACUUCGUGCCAGCAGCCGCGGUAAUACGAAGGGGGCUAGCGUUGUUCGGAUUUACUGGGCGUAAAGCGCACGUAGGCGGGCUAAUAAGUCAGGGGUGAAAUCCCGGGGCUCAACCCCGGAACUGCCUUUGAUACUGUUAGUCUUGAGUAUGGUAGAGGUGAGUGGAAUUCCGAGUGUAGAGGUGAAAUUCGUAGAUAUUCGGAGGAACACCAGUGGCGAAGGCGGCUCACUGGACCAUUACUGACGCUGAGGUGCGAAAGCGU
rnacentral:rRNA from 2 species